rnacentral:rRNA from 1 species
UACGAAGGGGGCUAGCGUUGCUCGGAAUUACUGGGCGUAAAGCGUGCGCAGGCGGUUCGGAAAGAGAGGUGUGAAAUCCCAGGGCUUAACCUUGGAACUGCACUUCUAACUACCGGGCUAGAGUACGUCAGAGGGGGGUAGAAUUCCACGUGUAGCAGUGAAAUGCGUAGAGAUGUGGAGGAAUACCGAUGGCGAAGGCAGCCCCCUGGGAUGAUACUGACGCUCAUGCACGAAAGCGUGGGGAGCAAACAGG